rnacentral:rRNA from 1 species
CCUACGGGUGGCAGCAGUGGGGAAUAUUGGGCAAUGGGCGCACGCCUGACCCAGCAACGCCGCGUGAAGGAAGAAGGCUUUCGGGUUGUAAACUUCUUUUGUCAGGGACGAAGCAAGUGACGGUACCUGACGACUAAGCCACGGCUAACUACGGGCCAGCAGCCGCGGUAAUACGUAGGUGGCAAGCGUUAUCCGGAUUUACUGGUGUUAAAGGGCGCGUAGGCGGGGGAGCAAGUCAGAUGUGAAAGCGACGGGCGCAACCUGUGACCUGCAUUUGAAACUGUUUGUCGUGAGGACUGGUGAGGCAGACGGAAUUCCUAGUGUAGCGGUGAAAUGCGUAGAUAUUAGGAAGAACACCGGUGGCGAAGGCGGUCUGCUGGCCAGCAACUGACGCUGAGGCGCGAAAGCGUGGGGAGCAAACAGGAUUAGAUACCCGGGUAGUC